rnacentral:rRNA from 1 species
GACAGAGGGUGCAAACGUUGUUCGGAAUUACUGGGCGUAAAGCGCGUGUAGGCGGCUUGGCAAGUCGGAUGUGAAAGCCCAGGGCUCAACCCUGGAAGUGCACUCGAAACUGCCGAGCUGGAGUCCCGGAGAGGAAGGCGGAAUUCUCGGUGUAGAGGUGAAAUUCGUAGAUAUCGAGAGGAACACCUGUGGCGAAGGCGGCCUUCUGGACGGUGACUGACGCUGAGACGGACGAAAGCGUGGGGAGCAAACAGGG